rnacentral:rRNA from 1 species
UACGUAGGUGGCAAGCGUUGUCCGGAUUUACUGGGCGUAAAGAGCGCGCAGGCGGUCGUUCAAGUCGCGUGUGAAAGCCCCCGGCUCAACUGGGGAGGGUCACGCGAUACUGAUCGACUCGAAGGCAGGAGAGGGAAGUGGAAUUCCCGGUGUAGUGGUGAAAUGCGUAGAUAUCGGGAGGAACACCAGUGGCGAAGGCGGCCACCUGGACGAACACUGACGCUGAGACGCGAAAGCGUGGGGAGCAAACAGG